rnacentral:snoRNA from 1 species
GGAUCAAUGAUGAGGACUUUAUAUUGUCUUAAAGAGAGGCGAUGACUUAAAAAUCAUGCUCAAUAGCAUUGCACUAUGCCC